AGCAGCCGCGGUAAUUCCAGCUCCAAUAGCGUAUAUUAAAGUUGUUGCAGUUAAAAAGCUCGUAGUUGAAUUUUAGGCCUGGCCAGGCGGUCCGUCUUUGGCGAGUACUGUCUUGUUGUCGGGUCUUCCUUCUGGUGAACCAGUAUGCCCUUUAUUGGGUGUGUUGGGGAGCCAGGACCAUUACCUUGAAAAAAUUAGAGUGUUUAAAGCGGGCUAUUGCUUGAAUAGAUUAGCAUGGAAUAAUAGAAUAGGACGUUGUGGUUCUAUUUUGUUGGUUUCUAGGACCACCGUAAUGAUUAAUAGGGAUAGUUGGGGGCAUUAGUAUUCAAUUGUCAGAGGUGAAAUUCUUGGAUUUAUUGAAGACUAACUAUUGCGAAAGCAUUUGCCAAGGAUGUUUUCAUUAAUCAAGAACGAAAGUUAGGGGAUCGAAGACGAUCAGAUACCGUCGUAGUCUUAACCAUAAACUAUGCCGACUAGGAAUCGGGCGACGUUAUUUAAUGACUCGCUCGGCGCCUUAUGG
rnacentral:rRNA from 1 species